GCCCAUGUCACCACUGGGCGACUUCAGACAACUGCCAAACCCCUGGCCCACCCCUGCCUUUACCCCCAAGCAGAAAGCUCAGGCAGCCUUGCACUUUAGCAAAUGGAAGGUGCCUGAAGGCCUCCCACCACUGGUAUCCCUCCCCCUCCCCUUUUAUGAAGAUGUAUUCACAGUGUGUGCACUUUUAAUUCUUCUGCUGUGGAGUAUAGGGUCAGGUUCAAGAUGUUGGCCUUGACCUUUAAAGCCCUUUGUGGCUUAGGGCCCUCGUAUUUACAGGACCGCCUCUCCUGGUCUGCCCCGCAGAGGACCUUAAAGUCCAUGAGCAACCAUAGUUUAGAGGUCCCGGGCCCUAAGUCAGACUAUCCUCCACCAGGGCCAGGGCCUUUUCAGUGAUGGCUCCGAUCUGGUGGAAUGCUCUGUCCCAUGAGACCAGGGCCCUGCAGGAUUUAACCUCCUUCCGUUGGGCCUGUAAGACAGAGCUAUUCCGCCUGGCCUUUAAUUUGAAUUUAGCCUGAUCUUUUAUUUCCCUUCUCUUCCCUCCCCCUCCCCUUUUAUGAAGAUUACCUGCUCUGAGACCCCACAGCUAAUUCUCCCCUGGCCUCCUCGCUGGCCCAAGUAGGACCAAUUCAGCCAACUAGCCCUGGUGAUUAUCUAAUCCUUAUUAUUAUUUUUUAUAAAAGUUUUUAUUAAUUUUCAAUACAAUAUACAUAUAAUACCAUAUCAAAGGUUUAUCACAAAUUAUAUAUUAUGGAGUUCCUUCAGCUUAUCUGCCAAUCAUCCGUAAUUAAAUUUUAGUUACGCAUUUCCUAAAUUUAAUAUUGCCUUUUUAUAUGCCUUCCUAAUCUUAUUUUCUUUUUUACAAUACUCCUCAACCUUUCACAGAGCUUCUUGAAAUCCCACGAGCGUUGUUUGUUCAUCACAUAUAUUUUUCAGAUAUUCUACAAAUUUUCCUCAGUCCUUGAUGAACUUAUGGUCUCGUUGAUAUCUAAUCUUCCCAGUUAAUUUGUCCAGUUCUGCAUAGUCCAUCAUUUUCAUUCUCCAUUCUUCCAGGGUCGGUAAUUCCUCCUGUUUCCAUCUUUGGGCCAUUAAUAUUCUCGCCGCUGUAACUGCAUAUUGGAAAAGUUUACAGUCCUUUCUAUUUAUUUCAUUUCCUACUAUUCCUAACAGAAGAGCUUCUGGUUUCUUUACAAAUGUAUAUUUCAACAUCUUUUUCAGUUCAUUAUAUAUCAUCUCCCAGAAACCCUUCACCUUCUUACAUUCCCUAUCUAAUGCUUAUUAGAUGGAUUUCCCCUAAAUUGGUUUCUGAACUUUGAAUUUUAUUGUUAUUCAUGUUUUUAUACCGUAUUUUAUGCUGCUUUUACAAUUAAGUGUUUUAAAUUUGUUGUUAGCCGCCCUGAGCCCAGUUUUAGAACCGGGAAGGGUGGGGUAUACCCUGUUUUCCCAAAAAUAAGACAGUGUCUUAUAUUACUUUUUGCUCCCAAAAAUGCUCUAGGUCUUAUUCUCAGGGGAUGUCUUAUUUUUCCAUGAAGAAGAAUACGGUACACAUUUAUUGUUGAACAAAAAAAAAGGAAAUUUAUUACCUGUAUACGGUACAACGUCUUACGGUAGCUUCGGGGGGCUUAUAUUCCGGGGUGGCCUUAUUAUCGGGGAGGCCUUAUAUUUGGAGGAGGCCUUAUAUUACAACAAGAGGCAAAACUGGAAGUAGGUCUUAUUUUGGGGGGAUGUCUUACUUUCGAGGAAACAGGGUAAAUAAAUUUUUAUUUUUAUUUUUUUUAAUUAUUAUUAUUAUUACAGGGCCAACAGGAACAUUACAAUAAGUCUGACAAAUUGUUAGCCUGCCUGGUUGAGGGCUGGCACCAGGAGGCACCAGGGCCAGCCCAGCCCAAGACAUUUUGGCACGUGAGGCAAAUCCACCAAGGAAGAAAGGGGGAAUGAAGAUCUACAUCAGGAACACAGAGGGAUAUAAAGAUGCACAUCAGGAUAUGCUGCACCGGUGGAUCCUGCCGCCUGAGGCGGUUGCCUCACCUUGCCUCAUGGGUGGGCUGGCUCUGGGUCAGUGGGAAGGGUUCAAUUCAAUCCCAUGGGUGCAGUUGCACAUGCUGGGAAGUAGGGAUCAUGCCAUAUUCUUCAUUAGGAAAACUGGGAUUUGUUUUUAUUUAUUUAUUUAUUUAUUUAAUAAUUUUUAUUGAAUGAUUUUAUAUUACAAAAAAACAUUACAACCAUACUACCACAAAAUACAAUUGAGAAAUAAAAAUUAC
rnacentral:lncRNA from 1 species